rnacentral:rRNA from 1 species
GACGAACGCUGGCGGCGUGCCUAAUACAUGCAAGUAGAACGCUGAAGCUUGGUGCUUGCACCGAGCGGAUGAGUUGCGAACGGGUGAGUAACGCGUAGGUAACCUGCCUGGUAGCGGGGGAUAACUAUUGGAAACGAUAGCUAAUACCGCAUAAGAGUAGAUGUUGCAUGACAUUUGCUUAAAAGGUGCAAUUGCAUCACUACCAGAUGGACCUGCGUUGUAUUAGCUAGUUGGUGAGGUAACGGCUCACCAAGGCAACGAUACAUAGCCGACCUGAGAGGGUGAUCGGCCACACUGGGACUGAGACACGGCCCAGACUCCUACGGGAGGCAGCAGUAGGGAAUCUUCGGCAAUGGACGGAAGUCUGACCGAGCAACGCCGCGUGAGUGAAGAAGGUUUUCGGAUCGUAAAGCUCUGUUGUAAGAGAAGAACGAGUGUGAGAGUGGAAAGUUCACACUGUGACGGUAUCUUACCAGAAAGG